rnacentral:piRNA from 1 species
AAUUCUUAUUAAACUACUUCUUG